GACGAACGCUGGCGGCGUGCCUAAUACAUGCAAGUAGGACGCAGUUGCGAACGGGUGAGUAACGCGUAGGUAACUGCCUAUUAGAGGGGGAUAACUAUUGGAAACGAUAGCUAAUACCGCAUACUAGUAGAUGGACCUGCGUUGUAUUAGCUAGUAGGUAGGGUAAUGGCCUACCUAGGCGACGGUACAUAGCCGACCUGGGGUGGUGAUCGGCGCAACUUGGACUGGGACACGGGCCAGACUCCUACGGGAGGCAGCAGUAGGGAAUGUUCGGGAAUGGGGGGAACCCUGACCGAGCAACGCCGCGGGAGGGAAGAAGGUUUUCGGAUCGUAAAGCUCUGUUGUUAAGGAAGCGGUACUUAACCAGAAAGGGACGGCUAACUACGUGCCAGCAGCCGCGGUAAUAC
rnacentral:rRNA from 1 species